GAACAACAGGAACGAGAGGAGCAAGACAGAAGAGCAGAUAGAGAAUGGGCAACGAUGGAACGAACACCCUCCGAAAGAAGUCCUCGAAGGUGACGCGUUGGAGGCCUCAGGACACCUAUAAGAAAUACAAGGGCCAAGAAGAAAGCGAGGCAUGUGAAUCAUUUGGUUGCCGCUCAUCUCCACUGGCACUAUUUUUCCUAGGUACAACCUGCAAAAGGAAGUACAAAGAGAGAUGAGAGCCUUAAUGGAAAUAUUCAUAAUUUCUGCCAGCCGGUCGGUGGGUCGGACCAAAGGCCAGACGUCGCUCGUGAUUAAUGAAUAAGGUGCGACUGAGCGGCGAAAA